AGUGAACGCUGGCGGUAGGCCUAACACAUGCAAGUCGAACGGCAGCACAGUAAGAGCUUGCUCUUACGGGUGGCGAGUGGCGGGCGGGUGAGGAAUGCAUCGGAAUCUACUUUUUCGUGGGGGGUAACGUAGGGAAACUUACGCUAAUACCGCAUACGACCUACGGGUGAAAGCAGGGGAUCUUCGGACCUUGCGCGAUUGAAUGAGCCGAUGUCGGAUUAGCUAGUUGGCGGGGUAAAGGCCCACCAAGGCGACGAUCCGUAGCUGGUCUGAGAGGAUGAUCAGCCACACUGGAACUGAGACACGGUCCAGACUCCUACGGGAGGCAGCAGUGGGGAAUAUUGGACAAUGGGCGCAAGCCUGAUCCAGCCAUACCGCGUGGGUGAAGAAGGCCUUCGGGUUGUAAAGCCCUUUUGUUGGGAAAGAAAAGCAGCAGGUUAAUACCCCGCUGUUCUGACGGUACCCAAAGAAUAAGCACCGGCUAACUUCGUG
rnacentral:rRNA from 1 species